rnacentral:rRNA from 1 species
CCUACGGGAGGCAGCAGUGAGGAAUAUUGGUCAAUGGGCGAAAGCCUGAACCAGCCAAGUCGCGUGAGGGAAGACGGUCCUAUGGAUUGUAAACCUCUUUUGUCGGGGAGCAAAAGACGCCACGCGUUGCGUUCCGAGAGUACCCGAAGAAAAAGCAUUGGCUAACUCCGUUCCAUCAGCCGCGGUAAUUCGGGGGAUGCGAUGGUUAUCCGGAUUUAUUGGGUUUAUAGGGUGCUCAGGCGGAAGAUCCAGGCGGCGGUAAAAAUGAGGGGCUCAACCUCGUCGAGCCGUUGAAACUGGUUUUCUUGAGUGGGUGAGAAGUAUGGGGAAUGCGUGGUGUAGCGGUGAAAUGCAUAGAUAUCACGCAGAACUACGAUUGCGAAGGCAGCAUACCGGCGCUCAACUGACGCUCAUGCACGAAAGUGUGGGGAUCGAACAGGAUUAGAUACCCUUGUAGUC